rnacentral:rRNA from 1 species
UGAGGAAUCUUGCGCAAUGGGGGAAACCCUGACGCAGCAACGCCGCGUGAGUGAAGAAGGCCUUCGGGUCGUAAAGCUCUGUCGGGUGGGAGAAACGUAUGCAGGCAAAUAAUCUGCAUGCUUGACGGUACCGCCAAAGGAAGCACCGGCUAACUCCGUGCCAGCAGCCGCGGUAAUACGGGGGGUGCAAGCGUUGUUCGGAAUUAUUGGGCGUAAAGAGCGUGUAGGCGGCGGGAUAAGUCAGAUGUGAAAGCCCUGGGCUCAACUCAGGAAGUGCAUUUGAUACUGUUUCGCUUGAGUACUGGAGAGGGAAGAGGAAUUCCUGGUGUAGAGGUGAAAUUCGUAGAUAUCAGGAGGAACACCGGUGGCGAAGGCGACUUCCUGGCCAGAUACUGACGCUGAGACGCGAGAGCGUGGGGAGCAAACA